rnacentral:tRNA from 1 species
GGGAUCAUAGCUCAGCUGGGAGAGCAUCUGCCUUACAAGCAGAGGGUCAGUGGUUCGAGCCCGUUAACUUCCACCA